CGUAACACCUUAUCAUGUAGACGCGAUCAGCGAAUGAGAGAGAGAUAGAGAAAGAACGAGAGAGAUCCCGUUUUUGGUGAAGUUUGCGAGAUGGACGGUUGUUGCGGCGUGCCGCAAAGACCUAGUCCGUGACGACCUACUGCGAGUUCAAAUUUUUGGCGGCCGAAGUGACUUGUCGGCGAACUGUACGCAUGUGAUGGUGAUGUUAGACGGUUCGGUAAUCUGGUGAUAAGUCGGUUAUUAUACGAGCUGGUUUGGAGUUCUCAAGCUACUUUUGGAGAUUAGAUAUUGGCCUGACCUUGUUUGGUCCGCAUCUCCUGCCAAUAAAAUUCUCCAUUUAGCUCUCUAUUUAUCUGAGGU